UUUUUUAAAAGCAGUAGCUUGGAAUAUUGGGGGGCAAAGGGCUAGUGAGCGCCUCAGAGGUUGUGCAUCUUGCCGAGAGAUGCAUAACAUAAAAACUCUGAAAGGCACGUGUGGCAUGCACGACGCAUAAAGCACUUUCCUAGCAAGUCCUACUUCUACCUCCCCGUGGUGCUUCCUGGGUAACGCUAACAGAAGAGGGCAAAGGGCGAGUUGCCAGCGCCCUAAAACUGGCACCCCUCGGCUAAGGUAUGGGAACCCCUACAGAAGAGUCCCCGGUCCUCCAGGUUGGGGGUUAUGCGAGAAGCUGACACGGUCUGACACUUUUUUUCAUAUAAUAUCAGUGAUAAUUCAAAAUUAAUUCUGUAUUAAGUUUUUUUUCCAAGUAUAGAUUGUGUAUAAACCUUACUUACGAUAUAAAAAGCAUUAUUUUAUUUAACAUUGAUUUUGGAAAAAUGAGUCAUAAGUUAUAUGUAAUCAAAUACUUGAUUGAGAUUUCAUAUUUAUUUUUCAGCAGAUAACUUUUGAAUGAGAAUAUUUCUUAAAUUUAUUACAAUUUAUCCAUUUAUUAUAACUAAUGUUUAAAAAAAAUAAUAUAACUUUUGCAAAAUGAUAGCCCGACGGGUAACCUGUUGAGUAAUGUGCCAGACAUUGAUGUUUAAACCUUGUGCCGCCUUGUAGCUCCCAUUAACUUAAUUACUGUUACAUUCUAAUAUCACCAAUUGCUUUUGCAUUGUAUGGAAACCAUUUACUAUAUGAUAUGUCUCACUUUAGUUCUAUUGUAUUGUAACGUAUAGCCAGAGAGGACAGAGAAGUGAAACAUACACAUAUAUAUAUACAAUAGUAUUGAUCGGCAUACUAUUGAUAUAUUAUCUGUAUGUGAACUAUUGUAUCUUAUGGUUUAAUCGUGUAAAUAGUCUCCUCAGUCUUUUGUCAUGGCAGUGUUUGAAAUGGAAUCUGCAGUGGAUACUGUCUCCGAAAAAGCUACAGUACCACAAGUGAAUUAAGAUUGAGAUCAAUCCAUGUGCUGAUUCCAAUUGGGUUAAUGAAGGAUGGAGAUGAUUGUUAGAUGAUGGAUGGAUAUGGUAGCUAACCCCGAUAAAGGGUUUAGCUAAUUCUUAAUUUUAAACGGUUUAUACCGCGGUUAUUCUAAUUCACAGAAUUUUUUGUAUCACAGACUAUGGGAAGGAGCUAAAUGGCCGGAUGACAAGGAGCUGCGUUCGGGAAUAUACACCGAGAGUUUUUUAAUCUAAAGCUAUACAAAUAAUUUUUAACAACAUUUACUACUCGGUGUGUAUUUUCAAACGCAACAACGGCAGGAAAGACAAGGCGGUUUAAGGAAAACAUCUUCCUCACAGGAAUCAUGAACCGGACUAUCCGGAUCCCCAAUCAUGAUGGGUGUUUACUCCCAUCACGAUCCCACAGGGAUCCGAAAGCCUAGUGCGUGCUUCUGGCUUAUAUAUGAACUACACCAAACACAAGUGCUUGCGAGAAACGAAGACACAUUUGUAUCAUUAUAAUUUCAUUUCUCCGAAAUCAUUAAAGUUAAAUUUAAUAAAAAAACUUUAAUUAUAAAAUUAAAACUAUGUAAUUUGUAAUAUUUUUCAUUUCUUUUAACUUAAAUAAAGCUGUUAACUUAAAUAUUCAUCAAGGUAAUAACCAUCUCUUGGUCAAUAACCGAACUAAAAGUGUGUGACACGUGCUGUGUGCAUGUAGGACCUAUCGUUUGUUUUCUGUUCCUGAACUCUCUGAAUUAGUGUACACUUAAAAUGAAAUAGAUAGAUGUUUGAAAGUUAGCGAAAGCAAGAAGGAACGUUCCAGUGCAGUCUAGUGCAGGAAUAGAAAACAAGCCUUUAAUCUCCGUUCGCGGUUUGUUUCAAACGUUGACUACGCGUGUCCCAAGAGACACAAAUUAAAAAUUAAAAAAUUUGUUCCAAGCAUAUAUUUAAAAUUCCUAUAGAAAAGAGAUAAUGUUAACGUCAGAGUGCAGACGACAUCGGACUUGAGAACGAACGACCAAAGCCAUUCCGACGUAUCAUAUUGUUGUGCACCUGUUCAGCAGCGAAAUUUGUUAUUUAGCUUAUAAAAGUAUUAAAAAAAGGGAAACAAAAUAAUGCGAUUUUGUUGUUUGUGUAAAAGAAAAAGCACAUAGGAUAAUAAGAUUAUUUUACAUAAGUUUGCUGACAAAUGAUAUAUGACAUGUAUUUUUGCCUCAUCGAUAGAUGCUGGGGACAUUCAUAAUCUUUGUUCACUUCCAAGCCAAAGUAUCACUUUGUAUCGGUUUUCAUAAUUUUCUGUAAUUAGAGGACUCAAUGAUGACGGUGAAUGAAUUCCACGUGAAGAAAGAUAGUUAAAUACUACUAAUUCAUUUGUAAUAUGUUAAGUUAGUAUGUUACUGUUUGUGUGCAAAUUAUGCAACGUCAAUUUGUAUCAUGACGUUUAUUGAAUAUGUCCAAGCUCUAUCUGAUAAUCCUUACUUCGGUGCUGGCUUUGGUCUAUUUGGCAUUGGAGCUGCCCUGUUGAGGAAAAGCAUUCAGAUUGGAACUGUAUUAUUCAGGUGACAUAUGAUCACUUGGAGGUGCCAUGUCGUGAUGAAUUAUCAGUGGCUGCUGCAAUGGAUCAUAUAUAAGGGCGCACGAAAGAUGUAGCAUCUCUCUGUGGAGACCAGUUUUGAGCAGAGGGACACCAAUCAUGCAAAAACAAAUACGAUUUUAUUCUUAGCAUAGGAAUUCAUUUUUUCAAGAUACUGCUAAAUUUUUCAAACAUUUAGAUCAAUGUUUUACUAUAAAUUAUAUCUAGAUUAUUUACAUAUUGUUUACGUUAUAUUAACAAAUCUUUUUCAUGUAGACAAUACAAGCAAUGUAAAUUAUACAUUUGAUAAUACAAUACAGAAAAAAAUGUAAUCAAAUUAUAAGAUCGUAAAUAUACCUGACUUUAGCAUUAAAGUAAUAAUAUAUAAUAUUGAAAAUAAAAAAUGUAAUAUGAUUUUAAAGCAAGACUAUAAUGUAUGUUGCAAUGGGGAGCGAGUGGCAGCAGUUGCUAGUAGCAAGUUGUUAUCAUAUCCUCACUGAGUGUCCACAAUCGCGCGCCUAAUGCAGGAUCCAGUCCGACAUUCGAUGGUUGACAACGAUAGCAAUUAUUGAAGUAACUACCGGUUAAACCUUCUAAUUCGGGUGCAGUAGCGCAAAAUACAGUCGUGCUUGCUGCUUGUUGCUGCAAUGCGUUUUGUGUUUAUUAUAUUUUCAGAAAUUAUAAUAUAAAUAUAAAAUAGAAAUUAUAAAUAAUAAUACAAUAAAGUAACAAAGCAUUGAGAAGUCUAAAUAA